CAGUAGCCGCGGUAAUACGGAGGGCGCGAGCGUUACCCGGAUUUACUGGGCGUAAAGGGCGUGUAGGCGGCCUGGGGCGUCCCAUGUGAAAGGCCACGGCUCAACCGUGGAGGAGCGUGGGAUACGCUCAGGCUAGAGGGUGGGAGAGGGUGGUGGAAUUCCCGGAGUAGCGGUGAAAUGCGCAGAUACCGGGAGGAACGCCGAUGGCGAAGGCAGCCACCUGGUCCACUUCUGACGCUGAGGCACGAAAGCGUGGGGAGCAAACAGGAUUAGAUACCCCCGUAGUCCCUGUCUCUUAUAA
rnacentral:rRNA from 1 species